rnacentral:ncRNA from 1 species
AGGAGCCGUAUGAGGUGAAAGUCUCAAGUACGGUUCUGAAUGGGAGGAGAUCAAGGCGACUUUAUUUUCGACCCCUAA